AGCCGGACAAUGAAGCUGACGGUGACCCUGAUUGCUUUCGCCAUUGUUGGCAUAAUUCUUCAUGACAGUUCAGCUGCACCGGCAGGCCAGCUCGCCGGAGCGUCGUCUGAGGAAGCUCAACGCACUGUUCGUUACAACGAUGACGCCGUAGCCCGUGUAUCUGUCGCUUGUGUGAACAAUAUUUGCUCCGUGUCGCAAUUGAGGAAAUAGGUGCCAGCCUUACAAAAAGUUACGCGUGGUUGCAACGCAGCCUUGCGUAACUGCUGCUCGAUUUUGAAGCAGAAGAUGAUUUUACUGCAGCGCUGCUUCAAACGACCACGUGUGCAAUGAUAUCGUCGACUGCACUCUGCAGGUGGUGGUGGUGAAAUAAAUUGGUUUUCAAAAGCAGUAA